AACGCACCUUGCACCCUUUGGUAUUCCGAAGGGUAUGCCUGUUUGAGUGUCUUGAAACUCUCAAACCUUACCUUUUGUUUAAGUACGAAUGGUAAGCUGUUUGGUCUUGAGCGUUUUUGCCAGUUUAUAAAACGACUGGCUCGCUUUAAAUGAAUUAGCUGGGCUCUAUUGUAUAAACAGUCUCACACAAGCGUAAUACAUAUUUCGUUUGUUUGUCUUCGGACAGGAUCGUUACAACAACUAAGCUUGCUGUCUUAAUCUGCUCAACGAAAGUUGUACCAUUUUUUUAUUCAUCAGACCUCAAAUCAGGUAGGACUACCCGCUGAACUUAA
rnacentral:misc_RNA from 1 species